GACGAACUGAGCGAACGUUAUUCGGAAUCACUGGGCUUAAAGGGCGCGUAGGCGGAUCAAAAAGUCAGGGGUGAAGUCCCACGGCUCAACCGUGGAAGUGCCUUUGAUACUGUUGAUCUCGAGGGAGGUAGGGGCGUGCGGAACUUCCGGUGGAGCGGUGAAAUGCGUAGAUAUCGGAAGGAACACCGGUGGCGAAAGCGGCGCGCUGGACCUCUUCUGACGCUGAGGCGCGAAAGCCAGGGGAGCAAAUGGG
rnacentral:rRNA from 1 species